AGAGUUUGAUCCUGGCUCAGAUUGAACGCUGAUGCUUUACACUGCAAGUCGAACGGUAACAGGUUAAGCUGACGAGUGGCGAACGGGUGAGUAAUGCAUCGGAACGUGCCCGGUCGUGGGGGAUAACACAGCGAAAGCUGCGCUAAUACCGCAUACGAUCUGAGGAUGAAAGCGGGGGACCAAGGCCUCGCGCGAUCGGAGCGGCCGAUGUCAGAUUAGGUAGUUGGUGGGGUAAAGGCUCACCAAGCCGACGAUCUGUAGCUGGUCUGAGAGGACGACCAGCCACACUGGGACUGCUCACCAAGCCGACGAUCUGUAGCUGGUCUGAGAGGACGACCAGCCACACUGGGACUGCUCACCAAGCCGACGAUCUGUAGCUGGUCUGAGAGGACGACCAGCCACACUGGGACUGAACACGGCCCAGACUCCUACGGGAGGCAGCAGUGGGGAAUUUUGGACAAUGGGCGCAAGCCUGAUCCAGCAAUGCCGCGUGCAGGAAGAAGGCCUUCGGGUUGUAAACUGCUUUUGUACGGAGCGAAAAGGUCUUCCCUAAUACGGUAGGCUGAUGACGGUACCGUAAGAAUAAGCACCGGCUAACUACGUGCCAGCAGCCGCGGUAAUACGUAGGGUGCGAGCGUUAAUCGGAAUUACUGGGCGUAAAGCGUGCGCAGGCGGUUUUGUAAGACAGGCGUGAAAUCCCCGGGCUCAACCUGGGAAUGGCGCUUGUGACUGCAAAGCUGGAGUGCGGCAGAGGGGGAUGGAAUUCCGCGUGUAGCAGUGAAAUGCGUAGAUAUGCGGAGGAACACCGAUGGCGAAAGCAAUCCCCUGGGCCUGCACUGACGCUCAUGCACGAAAGCGUGGGGAGCAAACAGGAUUAGAUACCCUGUAGUCCACGCCCUAAACGAUGUCAACUGGUUGUUGGGUCUUUACUGACUCAGUAACGAAGCUAACGCGUGAAGUUGACCGCCUGGGGAGUACGGCCGCAAGGUGAAACUCAAAGGAAUUGACGGGGACCCGCACAGCGUGGAUGAUGUGUUUAUCGAUGCACGCGAAA
rnacentral:rRNA from 1 species